rnacentral:hammerhead_ribozyme from 1 species
GUCAGCCAACGAGUCCCGAAUAGGACGAAACGCGUUUCCUGGAU